UACGUAGGGGGCGAGCGUUAUCCGGAUUCACUGGGUGUAAAGGGAGCGUAGACGGCCAAGCGAGCCAGGGGUGAAAGCCCGGGGCCCAACCCCGGGACUGCCCUUGGAACUGCAUGGCUGGAGUGCGGGAGGGGCAGGCGGAAUUCCUGGUGUAGCGGUGAAAUGCGUAGAUAUCAGGAGGAACACCGGCGGCGAAGGCGGCCUGCUGGAUCGCGACUGACGUUGAGGCUCGAAAGCGUGGGGAGCGAACAGG
rnacentral:rRNA from 1 species